UGAAGAACUGUCCAGGUAAGCGGAGAGG
rnacentral:sRNA from 1 species